rnacentral:rRNA from 1 species
CCAACAGGGAUUACCUCAGUAACGGCGAGUGAAGCGGUAACAGCUCAAAUUUGAAAUCUGGCCCUUUUAGGGUCCGAGUUGUAAUUUGUAGAAGAUGCUUUGGGUGUGGCCCCGGUCUAAGUUCCUUGGAACAGGACGUCAUAGAGGGUGAGAAUCCCGUAUGUGACUGGGUGCCUUCGCCCGUGUAAAGCUCUUUCGACGAGUCGAGUUGUUUGGGAAUGCAGCUCUAAAUGGGUGGUAAAUUUCAUCUAAAGCUAAAUAUUGGCCAGAGACCGAUAGCGCACAAGUAGAGUGAUCGAAAGAUGAAAAGCACUUUGGAAAGAGAGUUAAACAGUACGUGAAAUUGUUGAAAGGGAAGCGCUUGCAACCAGACUCGCAGGCCGUCGAUCAUCUUGGGUUCUCCCUAGUGCACUCGGCGGCCUUCGGGCCAGCAUCGGUUUUGGUGGUGGGAUAAAGGCCUUGGGAAUGUGGCUCCUCUCGGGGAGUGUUAUAGCCCUCGGUGCAAUGCCGCCUACCGGGACCGAGGACCGCGCUUCGGCUAGGAUGCUGGCGUAAUGGUUGUAAGCGACCCGUCUUGAAACACGGACCAAGGAGUCUAACAUCUAUGCGAGUAUUUGGGUGUCAAACCCAUAUGCGUAAUGAAAGUGAACGGAGGUGAGAACCCUUAAGGGUGCAUCAUCGACCGAUCCUGAUGUCUUCGGAUGGAUUUGAGUAAGAGCAUAGCUGUUGGGACCCGAAAGAUGGUGAACUAUGCCUAAAUAGGGUGAAGCCAGAGGAAACUCUGGUGGAGGCUCGCAGCGGUUCUGACGUGCAAAUCGAUCGUCAAAUUUGGGUAUAGGGGCGAAAGACUAAUCGAACCAUCUAGUAGCUGGUUCCUGCCGAAUUUCCCCCUCAGGAAA